GGAUUUGAGGGCAAUCUGGAAGCAUCAUCUGCCUCUACGUUGAUUUACAGUGUUGACUCUGUUGACCUGCCAGCCAUGCAAAUGUCCCUGUCCUCACUCAUCCCUCCACACGCACCCCUUCACAAACCACACUCUCCACCAAGACACCUUUCCUUUUCUUUGGUCUUUGGUGACUCGUACACCAGUAUCACACUACUCUGUUAGAACCUCCAAAUAAGCUCUUGAGGUCAAUGUUUGCCCCUACUUUGAAAAGGAUUUUUUAUUUCUUUCUGAUUAUAUCAAUAAUGACAAUGUGCAUUCUGCAGGCCUGU
rnacentral:snRNA from 1 species